CCUACGGGAGGCAGCGGUGGGGAAUUUUGGACAAUGGGCGAAAGCCUGAUCCAGCAAUGCCGCGUGAGUGAAGAAGGCCUUCGGGUUGUAAAGCUCUUUUGUCAGGGAAGAAACGGUGAGAGCUAAUAUCUCUUGCUAAUGACGGUACCUGAAGAAUAAGCACCGGCUAACUACGUGCCAGCAGCCGCGGUAAUACGUAGGGUGCAAGCGUUAAUCGGAAUUACUGGGCGUAAAGCGUGCGCAGGCGGUUUUGUAAGUCUGAUGUGAAAUCCCCGGGCUCAACCUGGGAAUUGCAUUGGAGACUGCAAGGCUAGAAUCUGGCAGAGGGGGGUAGAAUUCCACGUGUAGCAGUGAAAUGCGUAGAUAUGUGGAGGAACACCGAUGGCGAAGGCAGCCCCCUGGGUCAAGAUUGACGCUCAUGCACGAAAGCGUGGGGAGCAAACAGGAUUAGAUACCCUGGUAGUCCACGCCCUAAACGAUGUCUACUAGUUGUCGGGUCUUAAUUGACUUGGUAACGCAGCUAACGCGUGAAGUAGACCGCCUGGGGAUACGGUCGCAAGAUUAAAACCUUAAGGAAUUGACGG
rnacentral:rRNA from 1 species